rnacentral:rRNA from 1 species
CUACGUGCCAGCAGCCGCGGUAAUACGGGGGGUGCGAGCGUUAAUCGGAAUAACUGGGCGUAAAGGGCACGCAGGCGGUGACUUAAGUGAGAUGUGAAAGCCCCGAGCUUAACUUGGGAAUUGCAUUUCAUACUGGGUCGCUAGAGUACUUUAGGGAGGGGUAGAAUUCCACGUGUAGCGGUGAAAUGCGUAGAGAUGUGGAGGAAUACCGAAGGCGAAGGCAGCCCCUUGGGAAUGUACUGACGCUCAUGUGCGAAAGCGUGGGGAGCAAACAGGAUUAGAUACCCUGGUAGUCCACGCUGUAAACGAUGUCGAUUUGGGGAUUGGGCUUUGAGCUUGGUGCCCGUAGCUAACGUGAUAAAUCGGCCGCCUGGGGAGUACGGCCGCAAGGUUAAAACUCAAAUGAAUUGACGGGGGCCCGCACAAGCGGUGGAGCAUGUGGUUUAAUUCGAUGCAACGCGAAGAACCUUACCUACUCUUGACAUCCAUGGAAUCUUGUAGAGAUACGAGAGUGC